AACUUGCUGAGCCAUUUUAUAAACCAUGUGAGUAUCAUCGAGGGUGUUUGCUGCAUUCCUCAGUGUACUUGGCACUUGCUAUGUUCAAAUCACAGCUCGACCUCAGCGGCAGCCGGGAGCGCUCAGCACUUGUGCGGAUCAGACAGUAGUUGAGUUGGAAGACAGCGUUGCUGAGCUGCAGGGCUGAGGCUGCAUGGACCUGCUGGCGGAGAGCACAGAAAGGCGGCUUUAUCCCACACUGCAUUUUGCGAUUUCUCUUGGAUAAACUAAACGGAUCGAGCAUCUCAAGUCUCUCACGACGUACAAUUAACCUGUGGAACUCACUGCCAGGGGAUGUUGUGAAUGCCAAAAGUAUAACUGGGUUCAAAAAAGAACUACAGAAGUUCAGGGAAGACCGGUCCCUCAGUGGCUAUUAGCAACCCCAUGCUUGAGGCCAUGCUAAACCUCUGACUGCCAGAAGCCGGGAGGGGAAGCCUGGUGGAACAUUCCAGCUGCCU